rnacentral:lncRNA from 1 species
CAAAGUCUGGCCUCAGAAUGGAGUGACAGGCCUUUCUGCAGAGCAAUCAGAAAAAAUGCCGGCAGAGUCUGAGCCCAAGAGCUGUAUCUGAGGCCCAGAUGACUGGCUUCUUGACUGAGCAAUCUUUCAGUGUUCUCAGGAAGAGGACUAUCCUAGUUGUUGCCAGACCAAAGAGAGUCACUUCUGACUCUGUCAAGUUUAAGGGACAGGGCUAGGCAGCCAUGUUAACACUAAUGCUCAAGAAAACCAAGGAAAGGCUGCAAUGCUGUUACAGCCAGAGCAGGAGAAUGGGAAACUGAACACCUGGCAGCUCCCAGGAUGCUUUUCUGUAUUUUUGCUUGAGCUGUCAAACAGGUUGGAGCACUCAGGGUAGAAUGUGCUUAGCCUGCACAUGGCCUUGGGUUCAGUGUCUAGAACCAAAAAAAAAAAAAAAAAAAGCCACAAAGGUCAAAGGGGUUGGAAUGUUUUUCCUGACAGCAGUGGCCUGGGGUAGUAGGGCUGCACAGUGACAACUGCACUAAAUGACACUUUAUUAUUGUCUUAUUUAGCACUGAGAAGCCCGGGGGAUAGGUGAGUACAGUCACUUAGUAAACUGAGGCACCCUUUGGUCUUGUCCUAGAGAGAUGCCAUCUUUGAUCUAGCUUCCUGGGAGACCUGCCAAGCCCAUGUUCUCCAGGAUGGAGUAGCGGCCUUGGUAAAGUGUAUCCCAAAGAGGGAGCUGCUUUAGGUGUUCAGAACUAGCAUUUUGUAUUGGGUCAAACAGUCCACAUAUUCCUUAAAAGAAAACGAGGACUUAGUUUUCUAAAUGUUGGGGUGUGAGAUGGAGCUGAUAUAAUAUUAGACUGUAUCAGGAAGGGGUGGCCUUAAACAACACCUGUGCUGCAAACUCCCCUAGAAGUUUCAGGUAGUACUGUCCUUCUUAAGAGUUUUAUUUUUAACUUCAUGUGCUUUAUUAGCAUCUAGUGUGAUUGUCAUGGUGGUGAAGAAUGUAUAUCUGACAUCAUCGGACAGACCAAGUAGCCUGGAGAGUUGACAAGAAGAUUGUCUGGAUGGCCUGCUGGGUUUUGCUUUUUGGGUUUUUGGGGGGUGGGGUGGGGAAGGAGUUGGCUUUUUUUUUUGUCUUUAUGUAAUGUUUUUGUUUUAAAGGACUAAUGUUUAUUACAGUGUUAUAUAAAAGUGUAACAUAUUAAGUGUAUAGAAUAAAGGGCAAUAACAAAAAUUUACUCGACACCAAUUUUAGCCGCUAUACCCUCCUUUCUUGUGCAGUGUGGUUCUUUCCAUGGCAUUGUUACAGUGGGACCAUUUUAUUUGUUUGUUUGUUGUUUGUUUUGUUUUUGAGAGUUGCAGCCCUUGCUUUUGUCUUAGUAUAGCCUGAAUGGCUGCACUAGGUUUGUGGAGUCUCCUGGAAGCUGUUAGGAUAUGGAUACCAGGUGUGCUGCGUAAUAAAAACCACGUUCAUGUUCC